rnacentral:rRNA from 1 species
CCGGAUCAGGUUGUUGGGGAGGGAAUGGUCCACCAAACCUAUAACCGUUACGGGCUUUGAGAGGAGGAGCCCGGAGAUGGGCACUGAGACAAGGGCCCAGGCCCUAUGGGGCGCAGCAGGCGCGAAAACCUCUGCAAUAGGCGAAAGCUUGACAGGGUUACUCUGAGUGAUGCCCGUUAAGGGCAUCUUUUGGCACCUCUAAAAAUGGUGUAGAAUAAGGGGUGGGCAAGUCUGGUGUCAGCCGCCGCGGUAAUACCAGCACCCCGAGUGGUCGGGACGAUUAUUGGGCCUAAAGCAUCCGUAGCUUGUCCUGCAAGUCUUCCGUUAAAUCCACCUGCUCAACAGUUGGGCUGCGGAGGAUACUACAGCGCUAGGAGGCGGGAGAGGCAAGCGGUACUCAUUGGGUAGGGGUAAAAUCCACUGAUCCAUUGAAGACCACCAGUGGCGAAGGCGGCUUGCCAGAACGCGCUCGACGGUGAGGGACGAAAGCUGGGGGAGCAAACCGGAUUAGAUACCCGGGUAGUCCCAGCUGUAAACGAUGCAGACUCGGUGAUGGGCUGGCCUUGUGCCAACCCAGUGCCGCAGGGAAGCCGUUAAGUCUGCCGCCUGGGGAGUACGGUCGCAAGACUGAGACUUAAAGGAAUUGGCGGGGGAGCACCACAAGGGGUGAAGCCUGCGGUUCAAUUGGAGUCAACGCCGGA